rnacentral:rRNA from 1 species
AUUGAACGCUGGCGGCAGGCCUAACACAUGCAAGUCGAGCGAGCGGCGGACGGGUGAGUAAUGUCUGGGAAACUGCCUGAUGGAGGGGGAUAACUACUGGAAACGGUAGCUAAUACCGCAUACCAUCAGAUGUGCCCAGUUGGGAUUAGCUAGUAGGUGGGGUAACGGCUCACCUAGGCGACGAUCCCUAGCUGGUCUGAGAGGAUGACCAGCCACACUGGAGCGGGGACACGGUCCAGACUCCGACGGUAGGCAGCAGGGGGGAAUAUUGGCCAAUGGGCGCAAUCCUGAUGCAGCCAUGCCGCGUGUGUGAAGAAGGCCUUCGGGUUGUAAAGCACGUUCAGCGGGGAGGCGUUACCCGCAGAAGAAGCACCGGCUAACUCCGUGCCAGCAGCCGCGGUAAUAC